UUUGAACGUAAACUUCUCGUGAAUAAACAAGGCCAAAAGCAAACAAGGCAGCAUCAGGAAAUAAUGGCGAAAGGUGUCUUGAUCUUUAUCGUAGGAUCUACGAACAAUCCUGUGACGUCUUAUGUACCACACAAUAGAGAAAGAGCUGCCUAAGAAGAUCAAUUUCAUGGUAGUGUUGUAUACUGAGACAAAACCAGUAAAUAUAUCUAAGUAGCGAGUAGCAAACACCAGUGCAUAGAGCUCCUGCGUUUUCAAUGAUACUCCUGCAACGCAUGAUUUGAUGGUGUGAAUUUUGAGGAGCAAGACUAGAACACUCGCCAAAUGCGUCAUGUCACCUGCUAAUCUGAAUAUAUUCAUCUUCUCACCGCGACUGAUGAAAUCAGAUCAAUUGGUCAAAAACUGGAUGAGAUCAGCUUCGAAAACACACAAUUUCAAACGGAUCUCUCCAAAACGAC
rnacentral:lncRNA from 1 species